AAAAAAUUAGUUAAAUUUAAAUAACAUUAGAUUGUCAAUCUAAAAUUAAUAAUUAAAUAUUA
rnacentral:tRNA from 1 species